AUGACCGGGGCCGGAGUGGCGUGGCCUGGACCCAGGAGGUGGCGGUGCUGCUGGGAGAUGUGGCCGUGCGGCUGCUGCAGGACGGGGCAGUCACGGUGGAUGGGCGACCCGUGGCCUUGCCCUUCUUGCGGGAGCCGCUGCUGUACAUGGAGCUGCGAGGACACACUGUGAUUCUGCACGCCCAGCCCGGGCUCCAGGUGCGGCUCCAGGGCGAGUCUGGGUGGGCUGCCUGCUGGGAGCUUCAGUCCUGUUUAGGCCUGUGUAUCUGUAGAGGGAGUGGGGAUGCCAGCUACCUCCUGGCCAAAAAAGGCAAGGAGUGGGGUGCAGGGGUGUGAGGGGAGGUGGAUCAGGGUCAGAGGUCUCCCCGGGCAAUCAGAGGAGUUCUGAGUUCUGAGCAUGAUUUCUAAUCUCGGCUCAGCCUCUUAAUCCACCACCAGCCUCCUCUGGGCCUCAGAUUUCUCCUCUGUAAAGUGGGGAAUGGGAAGGGUCAGUGGCAGUGGGGAGGAUGUCAGCUAAAGUCUCCUGGGGGGGCGUGUCUCAGGUUCCUUCCAACUCUCAUGUGGAAGAGUAAUUUGCCCCCUGCCCCCAGCAGGAAACACAACUUGUAAAUUCAUAGAAUAAGGGUGUACACUUCUAAUCCGGACCCUAAUUGUGCUUUGUCCUCUGCAAGGCCCGAAUGCCCAUGAGAAAGUGAAUCCCUGGAAGGGGGUUGCAUUUCACCUGCGGCCCAGUUCAGGGAUGGUGGCAGGAGAAGGUGCCCUCAUGCAGAAGCUGUGGGCAGCUCCUCCUGUCAUCUGUCUUUGCCCAGGGCUGGCACAGAAUGUAUCCACUUGGCCUUAGCCAGGGCGGUGUUUCUUCCAAGGGGAGCCUCCACCUGUCCAUUCUCCUCCCCUACAGCACUGGCCGUGCUGAACACAGUGCCUGGGGCCAUGAUGGACCCUGGGCUUCUUAAGGCCCCUGUCCUUCCCUGCUCCCCAGUCCCAGGCCUCUCCACACAGGUGCUGUGGGAUGGGCAGUCCCAGGUGGAGGUGAGCGUACCUGGCUCCUACCAGGGCCGGACUUGUGGGCUCUGUGGGAACUUCAACGGCUUUGCCCAGGAUGAUCUGCAGGGCCCUGAGGGGCUGCUCCUGCCCACGGAGGCUGCGUUUGGGAAUAGCUGGCAGGUGCAAGAGGGCCGGGGGUAUCCCCCAGGGCUGGAGCUGCCCCCUGUGCUGCUGCAGAUGGAGCGGAGCCGGCGGGCCCAGGAGCAGGUAGGGGCUGGCCGGGGGUGUGGCUGAGGCCAGGGUGGGUGCCCCCUCACGUCCUGGCACCCCAUCUUCCCGCAGCUCCUGUGGGACUUGGAACCGCUGACUGGUGUGGAGCUGGGCCUCUUCUGGCCAUCCCAGGCCCAGUUUUUCGGUCCGAGGGGCCAGGCCCAGCAUGCAUGGAGCCAGUGCUGUCAGCCAGGUGGUAGCACGGGUGGGGACCCUGAGCAGCCGGUGAGUGGGUGAGGGGGCACCGUGGGGACAGAGGUUCUGGGAACACUGGGGCCCUGCUGUGGUAAGGGCAAGCGGAAGGGGCAGGGUUUUGGAGACAGGGCUGGGUUUGAAUCUCCACGCUGACCACCCCCGUGGGCUCUGGAGUCUACUUUUCCUCAGCUAGAAAAUGCCCACGAGGCCGGGCGCAGUGGCUCACGCCUGUAAUCCCAGCACUUUGGGAGGCCGAGGCGGGCAGAACACCUGAGGUCAGGAGUUCGAGACCAGCCUGACCAACAUGGAGAAACCCCGUCUCUACUAAAAAUACAAAAAUUAGCCAGAUGUGACGGCACAUGCCUGUACCUGUAAUCCCAGCUACUCAGGAGGCUGAGGCAGCAGAAUCACUUGAACGUGGGAGGUGAAGGUUGCAUGAGAGGAGAUCGCACCGUUGUACUCCAGUCUGGGCAACAAGAACCAAACUCCAUUUCCCCCAAACCCCCCGGCC
rnacentral:sRNA from 1 species